UACGUAGGGUGCAAGCGUUAAUCGGAAUUACUGGGCGUAAAGCGUGCGCAGGCGGUUUUGUAAGUCUGACGUGAAAGCCCCGGGCUUAACCUGGGAAUUGCGUUGGAGACUGCAAGGCUUGAAUCUGGCAGAGGGGGGUAGAAUUCCACGUGUAGCAGUGAAAUGCGUAGAGAUGUGGAGGAACACCGAUGGCGAAGGCAGCCCCUUGGGUCAAGAUUGACGCUCAUGCACGAAAGCGUGGGGAGCAAACAGG
rnacentral:rRNA from 1 species